AGUGUUCCCUUGGAAUGCAGCCCUUAUUACAUGCCAGGUAUGUGCUAACGGCUGCAUUCCAGAUGUGAUCAGCACU